UACGGGGGGGGCAAGCGUUGUUCGGAAUUACUGGGCAUAAAGGGCUCGUAGGUGGCCAACUAAGUCAGACGUGAAAUCCCUCGGCUUAACCGGGGAACUGCGUCUGAUACUGGAUGGCUUGAGUUCGGGAGAGGGAUGCGGAAUUCCAGGUGUAGCGGUGAAAUGCGUAGAUAUCUGGAGGAACACCGGUGGCGAAGGCGGCAUCCUGGACCGGUAUUGACACUGAUGAGCGAAAGCCAGGGGAGCAAACGGG
rnacentral:rRNA from 1 species